rnacentral:tmRNA from 8 species
GGGGCUGAUUCUGGAUUCGACGGGAUUUGCGAAACCCAAGGUGCAUGCCGAGGGGCGGUUGGCCUCGUAAAAAGCCGCAAAAAAAUAGUCGCAAACGACGAAACCUACGCUUUAGCAGCUUAAUAACCUGCUUAGAGCCCUCUCUCCCUAGCCUCCGCUCUUAGGACGGGGAUCAAGAGAGGUCAAACCCAAAAGAGAUCGCGCGGAUACCCUGCCUGGGGUUGAAGCGUUAAAACGAAUCAGGCUAGUCUGGUAGUGGCGUGUCCGUCCGCAGGUGCCAGGCGAAUGUAAAGACUGACUAAGCAUGUAGUACCGAGGAUGUAGGAAUUUCGGACGCGGGUUCAACUCCCGCCAGCUCCACCA